CGUGUUACAAUGGGGGGUACAGAGGGCCGCUACCACGCGAGUGGAUGCCAAUCCCUAAAACCCCUCUCAGUUCGGACUGGAGUCUGCAACCCGACUCCACGAAGCUGGAUUCGCUAGUAAUCGCGCAUCAGCCACGGCGCGGUGAAUACGUUCCCGGGCCUUGUACACACCGCCCGUCAAGCCAUGGGAGCCGGGGUACCUGAAGUGCGUAACCGCGAGGAUCGCCCUAGGGUAAAACUGGUGACUGGGGCUAAGUCGUAACAAGGUAUC
rnacentral:rRNA from 1 species